CGCGGCCUAUCAGCUUGUUGGUGGGGUAACGGCCCACCAAGGCGACGACGGGUAGCCGGCCUGAGAGGGCGACCGGCCACACUGGGACUGAGACACGGCCCAGACUCCUACGGGAGGCAGCAGUGGGGAAUAUUGCACAAUGGGCGAAAGCCUGAUGCAGCGACGCCGCGUGAGGGAUGACGGCCUUCGGGUUGUAAACCUCUUUCAGCAGGGACGAAGCGAAAGUGACGGUACCUGCAGAAGAAGCACCGGCCAACUACGUGCCAGCAGCCGCGGUAAUACGUAGGGUGCAAGCGUUGUCCGGAAUUAUUGGGCGUAAAGAGCUCGUAGGCGGUCUGUCACGUCGGCUGUGAAAACCUAGGGCUCAACCCUGGGCCUGCAGCCGAUACGGGCAGACUAGAAUUCGGUAGGGGAGACUGGAAUUCCUGGUGUAGCGGUGAAAUGCGCAGAUAUCAGGAGGAACACCGGUGGCGAAGGCGGGUCUCUGGGCCGAUAUUGACGCUGAGGAGCGAAAGCGUGGGGAGCGAACAGGAUUAGAUACCCUGGUAGUCCACGCCGUAAACGUUGGGAACUAGGUGUGGGCCACAUUCCACGUGGUCUGUGCCGCAGCUAACGCAUUAAGUUCCCCGCC
rnacentral:rRNA from 1 species